UACGUAGGGGGCAAGCGUUGUCCGGAAUUAUUGGGCGUAAAGAGCGUGUAGGCGGUCCGGUAAGUCGGCUGUGAAAGUCCAGGGCUCAACCCUGGGAUGCCGGUCGAUACUGCCGGACUAGAGUUCGGAAGAGGCGAGUGGAAUUCCCGGUGUAGCGGUGAAAUGCGCAGAUAUCAGGAGGAACACCUAUGGCGAAGGCAGCUCGCUGGGACGUUACUGACGCUGAGACGCGAAAGCGUGGGGAGCAAACAGG
rnacentral:rRNA from 1 species